GGAGGAAAGCAGGGGAUCGCAAGACCUCGCGCUAUUAGAGUGGCCGAUGUCCGAUUAGCUAGUUGGUGGGGUAAAGGCCCACCAAGGCGACGAUCGGUAGCUGGUCUGAGAGGAUGAUCAGCCACACUGGGACUGAGACACGGCCCAGACUCCUACGGGAGGCAGCAGUGGGGAAUUUUGGACAAUGGGCGCAAGCCUGAUCCAGCCAUGCCGCGUGAGUGAAGAAGGCCUUCGGGUUGUAAAGCUCUUUCGGCCGGAACGAAAUCGUCCGGGCUAAUACCUCGGAUGGAUGACGGUACUGGAAGAAGAAGCACCGGCUAACUACGUGCCAGCAGCCGCGGUAAUACGUAGGGUGCAGGCGUUAAUCGGAAUUACUGGGCGUAAAGCGUGCGCAGGCGGCUUCCUAAGUCAGAUGUGAAAUCCCCGGGCUUAACCUGGGAACUGCGUUUGAAACUACAAGGCUAG
rnacentral:rRNA from 1 species